AGGGCUGGGAGGCAGGGCAUAGGGACAAGAAACCCCAAGCUGGGUAGUGGAGGGGAAGGAGGAGGCCACUGGCCCCACAGCCAGAACCCGACAAAGUACCAGUGACUCCUGCUCAGACUUGUCAAGGAGCCAAUUCUGAUCACCUUCAGCAGGUGUUUACGCUGAGAAAGACUGACUUCCUUUGGUUCACCUGCUUCUCCCUGUGGAAGUUCUCCAUUCCUAGUGUUUUGCAUGGGGAGUUAUUUUCUCCUGUCAUGCCUCUCUGGGAAGCCAUCUUCCCUGUCCUCUUUCUCCCUCUCUUCCUUCCUUCUUUCUACUUGAUUUCCUUUUUUCUCCUUCCUUCCUUCCUAAACAUGACAGCACUGUCACCUGCCGGGCCCUUCCUUGUCACCCAGAAGCCUGGCAUGAGAGGAAUGCAUUACCAUCAAGGGAUUUACACAUUCUUUGUUUGAGACAAGAAGAACCUGGAAACCAAGAGGAACAUCUGAAAGCUCUUUGAAAUAAGCCUGUGAACCAUGUGGUGUGGGCAGAGGGAAAGCACUUGUCCAAGGCCUCCAUCCCCAGGGGUCAUGGAUGUUAAGGAACCGACCCAAGGUGCUCAAGGCGUUGCUGCAGACACCCGGCAGCCACUGCCUCAGAGAAGCCGGGCGGAGGUGAGAAGAGGUGCCGCCAGGCAGCUGCGGCCGGGAGCUGGCGGCUGGGCCAUUCACGCGGCGGUGAGCAGACAGACUAUUGAGGACCAAACCCAGACCUGCGCUACCACUACAUCCCCAACCCUUUAGGAAAUUUUCUCUCUUGAGAUACAGCCUUGCUAAAUUGCCCUCGUGCGACUCAAACUUGUGAUCUUCCUGGGUCAGCUGUGCUCAGGGCUGGGAUUACAGGUGCUCACCACCACUCCCAGUUCAAAUUUAAGUUUUUAUUAUGAAUAUUUUAAUUUUUUUCAAUUUCAAAAAUUCAUAACUGAUAAUGAUAUAAAUGUUUAGAAUUUUAUUUCCAAAUGAAUAAAUAAAUGAGGAAAAAAAGGGAAAGCAUUUAUUCAAGGGCUCACAUCCCUGGGGUGGUUGAGUUCCCAUUUUAUUUCUUAGGAUUUUUCCAGCAUGGAGAAAUCCUCAUAGAAAUCUAUUAAGAAGCAUAGCCAUUUCUUCUAUGUAGAAGCUGUAAAAUUUCAACAGAUUUCAAGUUUCCUUGCUAUGCUCUUUGGCUACUGGAUGUGUUCCUGGCCGUCAAGCCAACACCAGAAUGCCUAACACCGUCUGGACCUGCGUGGUGACUUUGGAACAUGGCCCCGGGAUACUCUGACACGCCUGCUGUCGAGAGCCAGGUCUCCACCUCCUUUCUGGUAACCUGGCUGUAACCCACAAGGGGCAGAAAAGGCUUUGUGUGUGUCGCUGCUGCCUUCCCUGGGGAGCACACCUUCGCAGUCCUGCCUGAGGUCAGAGGAAGCCAACCAGGCCUAGUGCUGUGGUCCCAGGCCCACUGGGGUCCCAGCUGGCACCUGGUCACACCCAGACCCGUGAGUGUGCAGCCUCCACCCGGUGCCAGCCUGUGCUGAUUAAUUUCAGGUGUCAGCUUGACCUGAUUAAGAAACUCCUAGAAACCCAGGGAAGCAUUGUUUGGGGGACAUCUGUGCAGGUGUCACCAGAGGAGGGUGGCAUGUAAGUCUGAACGGACCAGGUGGGGCACAGCUGCCCUCAGUGAAAAUGGGCAGCACCCAACCGGCCGGGGGCCUUGAAAGAGCAAAUACAGAAGGGACCCGAGAGCCAGGACACGUUCAUCUCCUGCCUUAAACUUCAGCGUUCCAGGCUUGCUUGCCUUGGGGCUUCAGGAUCGACAACAGCAGCCUUUCCCUGGGUACUUCCGCUUUGGGCAUCAGACCGAGAGCACCGGCAUCAGCUUCCUGGUUCUGAGGUUUUAGGACUCGGACUGAGCCCUGGUGCUAGCACCUUAGCGUCUCCAACCUAGAGAAGACCUAUUGUGGGACUCACAGCUGCUGCAAGCCUGUGAAGGAUUCCCCCAACAACCCCUUUCCCACAGCAACAUGCACCCUGCUGAUUCCGUCUCUGAAGAGCACUGCUGGCACCCAGCCCGCCUCCACAGUCACCACAGCACGGAGUCCUCCAGCUGAGGCCCUGGACAUUGCUGAGCACAAACAAGCUUUCCCUGGGUAGAUUUCUGUCCUGCAAACGUUUGUAUCAUGCCUCGGAGCUUUGCAGCAAGGUUCAUGCAGCAGAAUGACCGAAACCAUUACUGGCAAAAGCCCCCAUGACCCAUGUGGACCCCUUAUGCUUGUGAGGUCAGGGGUUGAGUACAUAUAAAUGGUCUCUAGACCACAUGUCCAAACAUGUAAGAUGAACACUGUAAAUGAAAUGAGUAAACUGUUAAAUAAACAUGUGACCCACUCCUUCCUUAAAAA